AGAGUUUGAUCCUGGCUCAGGAUGAACGUUGGCGGCGUGCCUAAUACAUGCAAGUCGAACGGAGAUUGUAGCAAUACGGUCUCAGUGGCGAACGGGUGAGUAACGCGUUGGUGACCUGCCCCGAAGUGUGGAAUAACAGAUCGAAAGAGCUGCUAAUACCGCAUAAUAUCCAGGAGAUUAGAUGCUUCUGGAUUAAAGGAUUUAUCCGCUUCGGGAGGGGCCUGCGUCCCAUCAGCUAGUUGGCAAGGUAAAGGCUUACCAAGGCGAUGACGGGUAGGGGACCUGAGAGGGUGGCCCCCCACAAUGGAACUGAAACACGGUCCAUACACCUACGGGUGGCAGCAGUAGGGAAUAUUAGUAAUGGGCGAAAGCCUGAACUAGCAACGCCGCGUGUGCGAAGAAGGCCUUCGGGUUGUAAAGCACUUUUUGAGAGGAUGAGGAAGGACGGUACUCUCAGAAUAAGUCUCGGCUAACUACGUGCCAGCAGCCGCGGUAACACGUAGGAGGCGAACGUUAUCCGGAUUUACUGGACGUAAAGCGCGUGUAGGUGGUUUGGUAAGUAGGGCGUGAAAGCUCCUGGCUCAACUGGGAGAGGCCGUUCUAAACUGCCGAACUAGAGGAUGGUAGAGGGAGGUGGAAUUCCGGGUGUAGCGGUGGAAUGCGCAGAUAUCCGGAGGAACACCAGUGGCGAAAGCGGCCUCCUGGACCAUUCCUGACACUCAGACGCGAAAGCUAGGGUAGCAAACGGGAUUAGAGACCCCGGUAGUCCUAGCCCUAAACGAUGUAGACUAGGCGUCGGUGGUUUAAACGCCAUCGGUGUCCAAGCUAACGCGAUAAGUCUACCGCCUGGGGACUACGGCCGCAAGGUUAAAACUCAAAGGAAUUGACGGGUCCCCGCACAAGCAGCGGAGCGUGUGGUUUAAUUCGAAGCAACGCGAAGAACCUUACCUAGACUUGACAUCCCCUGCAUAACUCAGAGAUGGGCGAAGUCCUUCGGGACAGGGUGACAGGUGGUGCAUGGUUGUCGUCAGCUCGUGUCGUGAGAUGUUCGGUUAAGUCCGCUAACGAGCGCAACCCUCGCUGUGUGUUACAAGUGUCACACGGUACUGCCGGUAUUAAGUCGGAGGAAGGUGGGGAUGACGUCAAGUCAGCAUGACCUUUAUAUCCAGGGCUACACACACGCUACAAUGGUCAGUACAAUAGGUUGCCAAGCCGCGAGGCGGAGCCAAUCCUAAAAAGCUGGCCUCAGUUCAGACUGCAGUCUGCAACUCGACUGCAUGAAGUUGGAGUUGCUAGUAACCGCAGGUCAGCUAUACUGCGGUGAAUACGAUCCCGGGGAUUGUACACACCGCCCGUCA
rnacentral:rRNA from 1 species